rnacentral:ncRNA from 2 species
AAGUUGUUGCAGUUAAAAAUCUCGUAGUUGAUCCUUAGGAUGGGUCGCCCGGUCCGCCUUCGGUGAGCACCGGUCGGGUUGUAUCUUCUGUCGGCGAUAUGCUCCUGGCCUUAACUGGCCGGGUCGUGCCUCCGGUGCUCUUACUUUGAAGAAAUUAGAGUGGUCACAGCAAGCCUACGCUCUGUAUACAUUAGCAUGGGAUAACAUCAUAGGAUUUUGAUCCUAUUGUGUUGGCCUUCGGGAUCGGAGUAAUGAUUAACAGGGACUGUCGGUGUGACCGUAGAUGACCGGAAAUGACACGGUCGAUGUUCCUCGAUGGUCAAUCUG